rnacentral:lncRNA from 1 species
CUCUAGCCGUGUACAGAAGAUAUGACUUUCGGAGGCCUCGUAGGAGCGGUGAGAAUGACUGCUUAAUGGAAUCAGAUUCCCAAGAAAAAGAACAAACUUUUAUAAACCCUUUUUCUUAAACGAAAAUGAAGGGUAACUACUCACGCCAUAAUACUAUCAAAUUUAUUUAAUCAACUUCUUUUUUCCCAUUUGCGACCAGUUAAGCAAAUAAAGAUCAAGAAAUUUACCCAAAGAGGGACCCAAUAAAAACGAACAAAAGAAAGAACUUUGCCCUGCAUUGGCAUCGAGGAGAACCGAUGAAUCAUUAACGAGGUGCAAGCAAGAUUUUUAUUUGCAUGCGAGCUUUUAGAUCUUUCUGGUAUUCUUUUAAGGCAAAAUCCAGAAUCGAUGGGAAUUUGCAAGAUUUUGCCGAUGGUCUCUGCAUUUUCUCAGCAGCCAAACAGACCACUGGCGAAAGGAAGCAAGAAGAAUCAGACCAGGAAAACAGGGCAAAUCCUUCAAGCGGGUAUAAAACAUCACAACCCCCACCAAAGACUCGAGGCACAGAGACAGACACAGACACAGACACAGACACAGAGAGAGAGAGGGAGGGAGGGAGGGAGGGAGGGAGAGUCGUGGACAAACCCGAAAUCAGUGAUGGAGGGAAGGAAGAGACUUGGAUUCUUGAGAGAUUCUUUCUCGCGCUUUGUUUUUAUAUCCUGGAUUUCUCAGGCGCUCUGCGUUUGGUUUUGGAACUUCUCCAAGAACCGAGAGCAGCUUUCUUGUUUCUUGGGUCUCUCUCCCUCCCUCCCUCCCUCCCUCUCUCUCUCUCGCUGUCUCCCCCCACGAAUAUCUGCUAAGCUCGCG